GAACACUUCCGGUCUCCCGGUUUAAUUAACCUGCAUCUGCCAGUCGCUCUCUUUUAUGUUCUUGGCAAUUGUGUUUUAGAGACAAGUGAGAGGCUAGAGAAUGAGAGAGCAACAGAAAGUCUUCGUCGCCAUCGUCAUCAACGGAACUAUUCGUCGAUCCAAGGGUGCCUAUGGCAUUCAUCGGAAUCCCGGUUGUGGCAAAGCAUAUGGAUUUUGGGGCAUGACGUUCGUCUGAACCCUAGAUCGUCGCAUGCCUUCUACUUUUUGGGGGUUUUUCACUGUGGCCACUCAAUAAUGGUUAGGGUUUCCUACCCAAGCCCAUCAUCCUUUUACAUUUUCAGAUUUGCUCAAUCAGGCGGCGUUGGUGGUACUACUAUUGCGGCAGAAACUAGGGUUUAUGUAGUUGACGGCGGUGAUGGUGGUUGCCGGCAUCAAAGCAGGAGCUGAUGUGGUCAAAAUGUUGAUUCCUGCCAAUUUUUUAUCAUUACAACAACAUCAGGAAUUCAUCCUAGAUGUGGGAGGUUCUUGUGUUAAAAGGGAGGUUCUCUAUGCUAUUUUUUUUGCACAACUUGGAACCUUUGGAUGCAUAGAAACGAGAAGGUGUUCAGAUCACCCUCUUCAGUGGUCAAGGUGAUCGAAGGUUUAAAUGAGACAUCAUUUUGGUCAAUAUCUAUGAGGUCUAAGCUUAGAGGCAUUCUGUAUGAAAAUUGGUGUAGGUUUGUAAUUGGGGGGAUAUGCAACUGUAUGGGUAUCUGUUUUUUAGGGUGUUUUGGUUGUUUGCAUUUGUGUUUGUGGUCCCAGUUGUUAACCUGCUUACUAAUGGGGUUAUAAUUUUUGUGAUUAAUACAAUUCUCUGUUGGUUGGUAAAAAA